GAUGAAGAACGUAGCGAAAUGCGAUACGUAAUGUGAAUUGCAGAUUUCAGUGAAUCAUCGAAUCUUUGAACGCACAUUGCGCCCGGCAGUAAUCUGCCGGGCAUGCCUGUCCGAGCGUCAUUUCUACCCUCGAGCGAGUCCAGCAUCUAGGUGCUGGGCCUCGCCCGGCGUUGGAGCACUACGGGAAGCCCUGUGCUGUCCCCCGUAGGCCCCGAAAUGAAGUGGCGGUCCUGCCGCGGCGCCCCCUGCGUAGUAUAACAGCUCGCUUCGGGACCCGGUGGAGGCCUGCCGUCAAACCUAUACUCUCUAAGUUUGACCUCGGAUCAGGUAGGGUUACCCGCUGAACUUAAGCAUAUCAAUAAGCGGAGGA
rnacentral:misc_RNA from 1 species